rnacentral:lncRNA from 1 species
GCUUGCCGUGCGAGUCGGACGUGGUCCGGGCCCACCCUGCUCUGUACUACUACUCGGCUUUCUCGUCAAGACUUUCAUUCUUAGAUGCCUGAGGAAGUGCACCAUGGAGAGGAAGAGGUGGAGACCUUCGCCUUUCAGGCAGAAAUUGCCCAGCUGAUGUCCCUCAUCAUCAACACUUUCUACUCAAACAAAGAGAUUUUCCUCCGGGAGUUGAUCUCUAAUGCUUCUGAUGCCCUGGACAAGAUUCGGUAUGAGAGCCUGACUGACCCUUCCAAGUUGGACAGCGGGAAAGAGCUGAAGAUUGACAUCAUCCCCAACCCUCAGGAACGCACGCUGACUUUGGUGGACACAGGCAUUGGCAUGACCAAGGCUGACCUCAUAAAUAACUUGGGAACCAUUGCUAAGUCUGGUACAAAGGCGUUCAUGGAGGCUCUCCAGGCUGGUGCAGACAUCUCCAUGAUUGGGCAGUUUGGUGUCGGCUUCUACUCUGCCUACCUGGUGGCAGAGAAAGUGGUUGUGAUCACGAAGCACAACGAUGAUGAGCAGUAUGCCUGGGAGUCUUCUGCUGGUGGAUCCUUCACUGUCCGUGCAGACCACGGUGAGCCCAUUGGCCGGGGUACCAAAGUGAUCCUUCACCUCAAAGAAGACCAGACAGAGUACUUAGAGGAGAGGAGGGUCAAGGAGGUGGUGAAGAAACACUCACAGUUCAUAGGCUACCCCAUCACCCUCUAUCUGGAGAAGGAACGCGAGAAGGAGAUCAGUGAUGAUGAGGCAGAGGAAGAGAAAGGGGAGAAGGAGGAGGAAGAUAAGGAGGAUGAGGAGAAGCCUAAGAUUGAGGAUGUGGGAUCUGAUGAGGAGGAUGACAGCGGCAAAGAUAAGAAAAAGAAAACAAAGAAGAUCAAGGAGAAGUACAUUGACCAGGAAGAGCUGAAUAAGACGAAGCCCAUCUGGACCAGAAAUCCUGAUGACAUCACUCAAGAGGAAUAUGGUGAAUUCUACAAGAGCCUCACCAAUGACUGGGAAGACCACUUGGCAGUCAAGCACUUCUCUGUAGAAGGGCAGUUGGAAUUCAGGGCAUUGCUCUUCAUUCCCCGGCGAGCUCCCUUUGACCUCUUUGAGAACAAGAAGAAGAAGAACAACAUCAAAUUGUAUGUCCGUCGUGUGUUCAUCAUGGACAGCUGUGAUGAGCUGAUACCUGAGUACCUCAACUUCAUCCGUGGUGUGGUUGAUUCCGAGGACCUGCCUCUGAACAUCUCCCGAGAAAUGCUCCAGCAGAGCAAGAUCCUGAAAGUCAUCCGCAAAAACAUUGUGAAGAAGUGCCUUGAGCUCUUCUCUGAGUUGGCUGAAGACAAAGAGAACUACAAGAAAUUUUAUGAGGCAUUCUCUAAGAAUUUAAAGCUUGGAAUCCAUGAGGAUUCCACUAACCGUCGCCGCCUCUCUGAGCUCCUUCGCUACCAUACCUCUCAGUCUGGAGAUGAGAUGACUUCCCUGUCAGAGUAUGUGUCUCGCAUGAAGGAGACACAGAAGUCCAUCUACUAUAUCACUGGUAUGUUGGAGCUUGGUUCUGAUCAAAGCUGUCUUGUGGAAUUGGGGAGGGGAAGUGGAGGCGUGAAGGCCUUUUGGCCAUCGAGUCCUGUUUAAUCCCAUAG